rnacentral:rRNA from 1 species
GGGAUUCCUUAAGUAAUUGCGAAUGAACAAGGACAUGCUUAGCUUGACAAAUGGAGCCUUUGGCUUCGACUUGUAUUUUUGAAAUGUAUUACCAACAGAGGUGCAGGUGUCAGCCUAUUGAAAGAAAGCGUCAAUGAGGGUGAGAAUCCUGUUUGUCAUGUGCAAUCCUCUGUGCACGGUGUAUGUUUGCUGAGUCACACUCCUUGGCAUUGGAAUGCAAAGUGGGUGGUAAGUUUCAUGUAAAGGUAAAUAUAGGAUUGAGACUGAUAGCACACAAGUACCAUGAGGGAAAUAUGAAAAGGACUUUGAAAAGAGAAUUAAAUGAGUUUGUAUUUGCUGAACAGAAAGUAAACAGACUUGAUUUUGCUGGGUGAGAUUGUGGUGCUUGCUUGACAACGUGUGUUGGCUGUGGGUGCGAUGAUUCUUUCUUUGCUUGCCAGUUUCUAUUUGUACAUUUGAUUACCCUUGCACAUGAAUGGUAAUUUUCCUGCGGGGUUUGGAUUGCAUGUGUUUGUGAUGAUUUGUGUUUUGAUGCAUGUGUCUGGUGCAUUUUGUUGGUGCUCACUUCUUUGAGGGGGUUCUCCUCUUUGAGCCUUCAAGCCCUGACGCACACUUGCUGGCAAAAUGCUUCUGCUUGUCCCGUCUUGAAACACGGACCAAGGAGUCUAACAGAUGUGCAAGCUUGAGGGUUGCAUACCUUUGUGCGCAAUGAAAGUGUUGGCUGGGAUAUUUGCACCAGCAGCCGACCGAUUAGCAGACAGAGGUUCGAGUUGGAGCAUAUCUAUUAGGACCCGAAAGAUGGUGAACUAUGCCUGAACAGAAUGAAUUCAGAGGAAACUCUGAUGGAGGUUCGUAUCGAUACUGACGUGCAAAUCGUUCGUCAUAUUUGGGUAUAGGGGCGAAAGACUAAUCGAACCAUCUAGUAGCUGGUUCCCUCCGAAGUUUCCCUCAGGAUAGCUGGAGUUGCACAGUUUUAUCAGGUAAAGCGAAUGAUUAGAGGAAUUGGGGACACAUUUGUCCUUGACCUAUUCUCAAACUUUAAAUGGGUAAUCUGUAGUGGUUGCUUUAUGGAACUUCUGAAAUGAAUGGCAAUAUUGGGUGGGCCAUUUUUGGUAAGCAGAACUGGCGAUGAGGGAUGAACCUAAUGUGGGGUUAAGGUGCUUAAUUACUCGCUCAUUUGAUACCAGAAAGGGUGUUGGUUCAUUUUAACA